AGCAUGGGCCAUGUCACAUGCUGAGUUGUCUGAACCCACUAAAUAGUCUUACACUGGGCAGGAGCCUACUGCAGAGGUUUCCAGUCACGAAUGUUCCAGAGGUCCCCAGUAAACAGGAACUGGAAGAGGGAGGAGCACAGCCUCGGAGAACUCUCAUCACUUCAUUCAACCCUCACAGUGUGACACGGUCGUGGAGCAGGCCAUCUCUAUUUAUACCUGGGGAAACGGAGGCUCCCAGAAGAUCACAGCCAGGAUGUGGGGCUGCAGUCGGCUCCCAGAGCCCAGAGCACAGCCCCCCAACCCCAUCGUUCUGAGUCAUUUUCCUCACCUGCAGAGUCAAGGUGUUGAAUGAGACCAGUGAUUUUCGGAACAUUUUUAGCCACCAGCCUUUUGUUCUAGUGAAACCCCGAGUGGCCAUGUGGCGUCACAAGAUGAGGACGCAGGCUCCGGCAGAGCGAGCGGAGAAUGUGGGACAGGAGGGCGGGAGCUGGCCGGGCCUGCCAUGCCCUACCUGCCCUCACCAGCAGCGGAGGGGAGCAGAUCUGCAGCGCACCCACCAGGCGCUGCACCACGCUGCCUCGGAGCCCGUCCACCUCCAGGUCACAGACGAGCAGGGGCUUGGAUAGGUGUGAGCCAGCUUCUUGACCUCGUUCUGGGGUACACUGCAGAGGGGUCCCACCCAGCCCCCGGGGCCAGGAAGGACACCUUGCCCGGGAAGAAGCCGGCGUCCACACAGCGCAGGGACUUCUCCACGGUCUGAAAGCUGCACUGUGAAGGUCAAGCACAAACAUGACCAGGUCAAAGCGGCGUCCAUUCACACUGGAGGGCAGAGGGAGGGACCUGGCCAAGUGAACCCGCAGCUCAGACGCACAGUCUUCCUUGAGCUCCGAGUCCGCCGGCUGCUGCAGAAGAGCAUCCUCCGCGCCCGCCCGCAGGGUAGUACCCACGCUCAGGCCAGGUCCCCAGUGCCUCCACACUGACCUUCUCCUGGAGGCCGAACCGCCUUUUCCUGUCUUCUUUUGAACCUUCCAGGAAUUUCCUGUGGGAAAAAAAGGCAUUGGCAGCGGUGUUCUGAGCUUUGUCUUUAUCUCAUCCUCACAUUUAACUGGUAGUUUGUCAGAACUGGGAGCUUCCUGAGGACGUUCAACAACGUCCUGUUGUCUUCUAGUAUCCCAUGUUGUAAAUAAAAUCCUCUUGUCUUUGUCGAUAUAGGAGGAGAGAAAGGCAAAGCAAAGUCAACUUCCAAAUCCAGGUUUUCCCACUUUCGCAUAUUCCAGGCCAUUUCAGGGCAACUCUUAAGAGCCCGUCCAGAGUUCUGCAAAGGCUCAGUUUUCCCCUCAAGUCUGUUACACCCACCGAUAUUUCUCCACCUACUUUGCAUCUCGUCUACAGCUAUGUGCUGCAACCUAUCUGAGGCUUUUAUUUCCAGUCUUUCUGUUUUUAUGGCAGCAAAUGAAUUUUUAGCUUUUUUGUUUGUUUGUUUUCAUUGCAAGGGUGCCUGAGGUAGGAAAAGGAUAAACAAAAAUCUUCAAUCCUUUCUCUUGGACUAGAAGCUCUAAUUUGCAGUUAAAAAAAAACAAUUGAACCUAGAAACAGAGAAUAGAAUGGUGGUUACCAGGAGCUGGUUGUUGGUGGGUGGGUAAGAGUGUGGGAAAAUCGGGUGAAUGAUACAAUCUUACAUUAUGAGAUGAGUAAAUUCUAGAGACCUAGUGCAGACCGUAUUCCUAGACUUAAUAAUAUAUUACAUACUUGAAAUUUGUUUAAAAAGUAGAGCUGAAAUAGUGGAAAUGUUUGUUUGGUAUCAUAUAAAUUAUGUUAAUCUUGGUCAUGGUAGUAGUUCCACAAUGUAUAUCAAAAUAUCACAUUAUAUACCUUGGAGAUAUACAGUUCUAUCAUUCAUAAAUAAAGCCGGAGUGGGGAGAAGAUAUGCUUGUAUGCUCUGAAGUUAGAGGAUUAGAUGAAGGCUAAGAGGAAAGGCUGCUCACCUCAUGGCAACCGGGAAGCAGUAAAUGAAGGGAGAAGGGCGGAGGGAGACACCCCCAGCUCAGGCUGCCAGUGACUCGCCUGUUCUGCGCAGACCCCACCUCCUAACAGCUAGUCAGCUACAGCAGCUCAAAAGCCGAUCUUCUUUCAAAAGCUCUUGUCUUUGAACUCAUAAGGCUUUGGGAAGGGCGAAGGGGGCGUGAACUCUAAACCUCGGAACUUUUAUGGGAAUUAGAUAUUUACAUAAAGUGUUUGGUGUGAUACCUUACAUGUGGUAAAUUCUCAAUGAAUACUGGCUAUUAUAAUUUUUCAAAGAAAUGUUAAAAUCAUCAGCAUUGGAAAGAAUAGGCAGAGUUUAAUAUAUUUUUCAGUCUUGCUAUGGAGGUAGUAACAAAUUAAUACUGUAAUGUGGGCAGCCAUUAAAUCAAAAAUGCCAACAGUAUUUUUACCCAAGAUAUAUCAAAAACGUGAAAACUUAAUGUAGUGAUUCAAUGUUAAAAAUGAUUUGUAAGCACUCAGGAAAGGAGACUUUCCAGAAACUAGUAGAUUUAUAGUUUCAGAUCUUCGGUUAAAGCCUUUAAUCUAGCUUCAGUUGAUUAAAGUGUACAGUAGAAGAUAGGGGUUCAAUCUCAGUUGUUUGCAUGUAAAUAUCCAAUUUGUCCACUAUCAUUUAUUAAAAUGCUAUACUUUGUUCAUUUUGGAUUCUUGGUAUUCUUAAAAGUUAGUUGAUAGUAUGUGCGUGUAUUUAUUUGGGGC
rnacentral:lncRNA from 1 species